GGGCCGAUCGUCUAGUCUGGUAGGACGCUGCCUUGACAUGGCAGAGGUCAGGAGUUCAAGUCUCCUUCGGCCCA
rnacentral:tRNA from 2 species